rnacentral:rRNA from 1 species
GAUGAACGCUGGCGGCGUGCCUAAUACAUGCCAGUCGAGCGAACGGACGAGGAGCUUGCUCCUCUGACGUUAGCGGCGGACGGGUGAGUAACACGUGGAUAACCUACCUAUAAGACUGGGAUAACUUCGGGAAACCGGAGCUAAUACCGGAUAAUAUAUUGAACCGCAUGGUUCAAUAGUGAAAGACGGUUUUGCUGUCACUUAUAGAUGGAUCCGCGCCGCAUUAGCUAGUUGGUAAGGUAACGGCUUACCAAGGCAACGAUGCGUAGCCGACCUGAGAGGGUGAUCGGCCACACUGGAACUGAGACACGGUCCAGACUCCUACGGGAGGCAGCAGUAGGGAAUCUUCCGCAAUGGGCGAAAGCCUGACGGAGCAACGCCGCGUGAGUGAUGAAGGUCUUCGGAUCGUAAAACUCUGUUAUUAGGGAAGAACAAAUGUGUAAGUAACUAUGCACGUCUUGACGGUACCUAAUCAGAAAGCCACGGCUAACUACGUG